CCUACGGGAGGCAGCAGUGAGGAAUAUUGGUCAAUGGGCGCGAGCCUGAACCAGCCAAGUCGCGUGAGGGAAGACGGUCCUAUGGAUUGUAAACCUCUUUUGUCGGGGAGCAAAAGACGCCACGCCUGGCGUUCCGAGAGUACCCGCAGAAAAAGCAUCGGCUAACUCCGUGCCAGCAGCCGCGGUAAUACGCAGGAUGCGAGCGUUAUCCGCAGGUAUUGGGUUUACAGGGUGCGCAGGCGGGAGAUUCAGUCAGCGGGCAAAUGGAGAGGCGCAGCCGCUUCGCGCCGUUGAAACUGGGUUUGGUGAGUGAGCGAGAAGUAUGCGGAAGGCGUGGGGUAGCGGGGGAAGGGAUAGAGAUAACGCAGGACUGGGAUGGGGAAGGGAGGAUACCGGCGCUCAACUGAGGCGCAUGGACGAAAGUGUGGGUAUCGAACAGGAGUAGAUAGCCGAGUAGGG
rnacentral:rRNA from 1 species